AUGGAGCUCACCAACAUCCCCCAUCUUUCCUCCUCCUCCAGCUUCUUCUUCUCCAGCUGCAGAAGUAGAAGAAGAACUGGGAAGGCUGUGAUAACAGCGCUUGCUGCUGGUAGUAGGUGCAGUGCUGAUUCUGCAUGCCCAGAGCCCAUUGAACAGCAUAAUGUAGACAGCCUUUCAGUGGCCUCAGGUCCUGCAAAUACCCAAUGUUAUAGAAGGAGGGGUUUUGCUGCUGUUGCUCUGCUCCCUUUUCUACUUCCUCACGUUGAUAUGGCGAGUGCGGCUGACUCAUAUGAUGGAUCAAUUAUUCAAAACGGUGUGAGGAAUGUCUUAACCAAGGUGAAAGCAGCUGGCGUGCUUCGUUUGGUUUUCCAUGAUGCAGGGACUUUUGAUAUUAGUGACAAAUCAGGUGGCAUGAAUGGCUCCAUAAUCUAUGAAGCUGACAGACCUGAAAAUGCAGGACUUAGUAAAUCCUUAAAGAUACUACGAAAAGCAAAAGAAGGGAUCGACCAGGUUCAGCAAGUGUCAUGGGCGGACUUGAUCGCAGUGGCUGGUGCUGAAGCAGUUGCACUCUGUGGAGGGCCUGAAAUUUCCAUAAGAUUAGGCCGUUUAGAUUCCAGCACUGCUGAUCCUACCGGUAAACUUCCUGAAGAAACAUUGGAUGUUGUGGCCUUGAAAACGUCAUUUGGCAAAAAGGGCUUUUCGACACAGGAGAUGGUCGUUUUAUCUGGAGCUCACACAAUUGGGGGUAAAGGAUUCGGGAAUCCAAAUGCUUUUGAUAACGCCUAUUUCAAAGUACUCCUUGAGAAGCCACGGCCGACUUCAUCUGGCAUGCCGAUAGGGCUGCCCACGGACUGGGCACUCACUGAAGAUGAUGAAUGCUUAAGGUGGAUCGAUAUCUACGCGGAGGACGAGGAUAAAUUUUUCGCCGACUUCAGAGAUGCAUACACCAAGCUUGUAAAUAGCGGAGCCUCGUGGAGAACAGCUUAG
rnacentral:rRNA from 1 species